UGGGGAAUAUUGGACAAUGGGCGCAAGCCUGAUCCAGCCAUACCGCGUGGGUGAAGAAGGCCUUCGGGUUGUAAAGCCCUUUUGUUGGGAAAGAAAAGCAGUCGAUUAAUACUCGGUUGUUCUGACGGUACCCAAAGAAUAAGCACCGGCUAACUUCGUGCCAGCAGCCGCGGUAAUACGAAGGGUGCAAGCGUUACUCGGAAUUACUGGGCGUAAAGCGUGCGUAGGUGGUUGUUUAAGUCUGUUGUGAAAGCCCUGGGCUCAACCUGGGAAUUGCAGUGGAUACUGGACGACUAGAGUGUGGUAGAGGGUAGUGGAAUUCCUGGUGUAGCAGUGAAAUGCGUAGAGAUCAGGAGGAACAUCCAUGGCGAAGGCAGCUACCUGGACCAACACUGACACUGAGGCACGAAAGCGUGGGGAGCAAACA
rnacentral:rRNA from 1 species